CAGCAGCCGCGGUAAUACGGAUGUGUCAAGCGUUGUUCGGAAUCACUGGGCAUAAAGGGCACGUAGGCGGAUUGCUAAGUCAGCUGUGAAAGCCCACGGCUUAACCGUGGAACGGCAGUUGAUACUGGCAGUCUUGAGUUCGGGAGAGGAGAGUGGAACUCCUGGUGGAGCGGUGGAAUGCGUAGAUAUCAGGGGGAACAGCGGAGGCGAAGGCGGCUCUCUAGUCCGAAACUGACGCUGAGGUGCGAAAGCCAGGGGAGCGAACGGGAUUAGAUACCCCGGUAGUCCUGGCCGUAAACGAUGGGUACCAGGCAGUGGGCGUUCCAAUACAUUCCACUGCCGCAGUUAACGCAUUAAGUACCCCGCCUGGGGAGUAUGGUCGCAAGGCUGAAACUCAAGGUAAUUGACGGGGGCUCACACAAGCGGUGGAGCAUGUUGCUCAAUACGAAGCUACGCGUAGAACCUUACCGAGGUUUGACAU
rnacentral:rRNA from 1 species